GGUAGAGGGGGCGGAGCGGCCGGGGUGCGCGGUAAAGAUGGGGCGGCGCGGCCGGGGCUCGCCAGCACCAGCCCUGGAACCCCAUGGGGGACCUCGACAACAGCGCCUUUGCGGCGUGGGCCCCUUUCUGCAGCUCCUCCACCCGCGCGCUGUCGGCUCCGGGACACUGGGGCUUUGAAGGGCGCCAGUUCCCAGCCGCACCUGCACGCCUAGGAGGGCGCAGGCCGCGUGUCCCUGUGGGAGGAAGGCCCCGGCAACCUGCAAAGACCUCACGUCACAGAAACUUGCGGCGUUUGCCCCCGAUGCGCGCGUCAGGUGCUCCGUCCCUUCCAGGUGGCAGAGGAGAGGGAAGGGUCGCGCCUGGUGGGGGCCUGAGAGCCACCGGGCUGCGGUGCGCGAGUGUGGACACCGCCCCGCCUUCUGCGUCUACAGCCCUGGGUUCUGGGACCUUUGGAAACCGCUUUGGACGAAGCUGAGCAUCUCUUUCCCCACGCUGACCUCCCCCAUAGACUCCGGAUGGGAGUAAAUGAGGCUCCUGGGAAAUCCAGAAACUCUAGAGAAGCUUGUUUGCCAAACCUUGCUUUGGGCGGUGGAGACAGAAUAUCAUGUCCCAGAUCAGCGUGUGGUGACUGUGGAGGCAUUUACACACAGCACACUCCAGCUCUGCCACUGGGCCGGCUGAGGUGGCUGCGGUACACGGCGCCCAUCCUGAGCCCCAGGUUCCUCACAUGUCAACAGCAUGAAAAGUGCCUCUAAGACAUCCACAGGUGUGCAGUGUUAAAGCAGGUGAGUGUCCUAGUGUAGACUUAGCGGAGUGGGGCUAGGGCUGCGGGUAGUGGGUGUUCCGCCCCCGGCUUGCUACCCAGUCCUCCCUGUCCCUCAGAUCUGGCCCCAACCCUCAGGCAGACCCGUGUCUUCUCUUCCACCCCCUCCCUCCUCCUCCCUGGCACUCAGCCUUGCUCUUCUACUCUACCCUCCCUCCCCAGGCAGCGCCUCAGCUUGGUUAGCUCCCUUAAGGACUGCGGCUCCCUUAGGACAAGGCUCUGUCCCUCAGAGCACUGAGUGCGAUCUCAUGCUGGCAUCUUAGAGACAUUGUAUUCACCAGGUAAGAUGGAUUCACAUCUGCUGGGUGCACGAACACUUCCUCCUUCCUUGCCACCAGCCAGCAUCACAACCAGCCUGGCCAGGCUCCCGUCCCAGCCCAGCCUAGCAGCUAACCCCAGCUCCAUCCCCCAGCAAGCCCCUCUGCCUGCACCUCAGCUUCUUCAUGGAAGACGAGUCAGGUCAUGAUGCCACCAGGGAGCGUGUUUCCAUGUUGAACUGAGACACUAAGCCCUUGACAAAUGUUGGCCAAGAAAAAAAAGGGGCUCCAAGAGGGGAGCUGUGGCUCAGGUAGAAGACGGUGAAUGAGCAUUGCCUGAAUCAGAGUUAGCUACUCUGGUUACACAGGUGUCCCCGGCAGGUUGGUCAAAAGCCCUUCCCUGAGUCCCGUGAUAAGUGUGGGGAGGGAGGCAAAUCAAAGACCCCUACACACCUCCUGCAUGGAUGGCCAGAGCGCUGGUCCCACCUCCUUCCUUCCAAACUGCAACCCCGAUCAGCACAGCAGAGAAGUCUCCUGUGGCAGGGACCAGUAAUUCAGUGCUUCCCCUGGAGAGUCUGGGAUUGCACAGAACACCAGAGGCUGGGGAUUUAUUUGUUCACCAA
rnacentral:lncRNA from 1 species